rnacentral:rRNA from 1 species
CCUACGGAUGGCAGCAGUGAGGAAUAUUGGUCAAUGGGCGCGAGCCUGAACCAGCCAAGUCGCGUGAAGGAUGACGGCCCUACGGGUUGUAAACUUCUUUUGUCAGGGAGCAAUUGGGUCCACGCGUGGGCUUAGCGAGAGUACCUGAAGAAAAAGCAUCGGCUAACCCCGUGUCAGCAGCCGCGGUAAUACGGAGGAUGCGAGCGUUAUCCGGAUUGAUUGGGUUUAAGGGGUGCGUAGGCGGAAUAUCAAGUCAGCGGUAAAAAUUCGGGGCUCAACCCCGUCGUGCCGUUGAAACUGAUGUUCUUGAGUGGGCGAGAAGUAUGCGGAAUGCGUGGUGUAGCGGUGAAAUGCAUAGAUAUCACGCAGAACUCCGAUUGCGAAGGCAGCAUACCGGCGCCCAACUGACGCUGAAGCACGAAAGCGUGGGUAUCGAACAGGAUUAGAUACCCGAGUAGUC